UACGGAGGAUGCAAGCGUUAUCCGGAAUGAUUGGGCGUAAAGCGUCCGCAGGUGGCACUGUAAGUCUGCUGUUAAAGAGCAAGGCUUAACCUUGUAAAAGCAGUGGAAACUACAGAGCUAGAGUACGUUCGGGGCAGAGGGAAUUCCUGGUGUAGCGGUGAAAUGCGUAGAGAUCAGGAAGAACACCGGUGGCGAAAGCGCUCUGCUAGGCCGUAACUGACACUGAGGGACGAAAGCUAGGGGAGCGAAUGGG
rnacentral:rRNA from 1 species